UAGGUGAACCUGCGGAAGGAUCAUUAUCGUACAACGGAGGUGUGAGGGCUGUCGCUGACCUUCAAAGGUUGUGCACGCCCAAGCACUCUCUCACAUCCAUUUCACCCCCAUUUGUGCAUCACCGCGUGGGCCCCCUCUUUGCGGAGAGGGCUUGCGUUUUCACAUAAAACUUUUGAUACGGUGUAGAAUGUCUUUUUUUUGCUUGCGGUCACACGCAAUCAAUACAACUUUCAACAACGGAUCUCUUGGCUCUCGCAUCGAUGAAGAACGCAGCGAAAUGCGAUACGUAAUGUGAAUUGCAGAAUUCAGUGAAUCAUCGAAUCUUUGAACGCACCUUGCGCCCCUUGGCAUUCCGAGGGGCACACCCGUUUGAGUGUCGUGAAAUUCUCAAAACCCUUUUCUUUGAUGGGAAGAGGAUUUUGGACUUGGAGGCUUGAUGCUUGCUUUCGCUCUUGAAAGUGAGCUCCUCUCAAAUGAAUUAGUGGGGUCUGCUUUGCUGGUCCUUGACGUGAUAAGAUGUUUCGACGUUUUGGACUUUGGCACUGUCUCUUGGAUGCCUGCUUCAAACCGUCCAUAUCAUGGACAACGAUGGUGCUUUGGUCUCCUCCAUCCACAUUGGUGGGAGGCUGGACCCACAAAAAAACCUUGACCUCAAAUCGGGUGAGACUACCCGCUG
rnacentral:rRNA from 1 species